rnacentral:misc_RNA from 1 species
AGAAUUGAGAAACAGCAAAAUGUUCCUGAAGCUUCUAGAAGCAGUGCUCAAGACUGGGAACCGCAUGAAUGUUGGUACAAACCGUGGCGAUGCCCAGGCCUUCAAGCUUGACACGCUCCUUAAGCUGGUUGAUGUCAAGGGGACUGAUGGGAAAACUACUCUCCUGCAUUUUGUUGUUCAGGAAAUUAUCAGAUCUGAAGGUUCUCGCAUUUCCGGUGUAAAUGAGAAUCAAACAGCUGAGAAAACUCAACAAUCCACUUUCCAGGAUGAUGUUGAAUUUAGGAAGCUUGGCCUGCCCGUUGUUUCUGGAUUGAGUGGAGAGCUCACCAAUGUAAAGAAAGCUGCAGCAAUGGAUUCAGAUGUGCUUAGCAGUGAAGUUGCAAAACUGGCCGUGGGAAUUGCAAAAGUAAGGGAGGUUUUGAAACUAAAUGAGGAAAUUGUGUUGAAGGAGAGUAGCAGGAAGUUCUCAGAAUCAAUUAAUGGAUUCCUGAAGAAGGCAGAGGAAGAGAUUGUUAGGAUUCAAGCACAAGAGAAACAUACUCUCUCCUUGGUGAAGGAAAUAACAGAGUAUUUCCAUGGGAACUCAGCCAAGGAAGAAGCUCAUCCAUUUCGGAUAUUUAUGGUGGUGAGGGAUUUUCUUUCCAUUCUUGAUCAGGUAUGCAAAGAAGUUGGGAAGAUCAAUGAGCGAACUACAUACAGUUCAGUCCGUCCAAUGCAGAUAAAUCCAAACCUUCCACCAGUUUUUCCUGGAUUCAAUGGAAGAGACAGCAUUAUGGCACAUUGGAUGAUGAAAGUUUAUCAUUGUCCUAGUGUUGAUCUCUACCUUAGGUGAGACUGAAAAUCUGNNNNNUCUCCCUAUCAGAAAAUCAGUGGCACAUUCAAGAUAUGAUUUGAAGUGUCCUCUUUUUAAUUUUUUAAUCUAAAUAUUUUGGCUCACGAGAUUUUGGAUUUGUUUACUUUGUGUAAUAUACCAACGGAUUAUGUCAGGACAUAACAAGGAUAAAGUAGCAAUGCUGGAAUAGUUGAAUCUAUCAUGUAAAUUUGUUAGAAGCUGAAUUGAUGUCUUGCUGUUCCAGCAUUGCUACUUUAUCCUUGUUAU